rnacentral:lncRNA from 1 species
CCAAGGCCACAUUCAGCUUUCCAACUCUUCCUGUGAUUCACUCUCACUGGGGGCUGUUGAAUCAUUAAAAUCAGGAAAAGGGGAAGCUCCAUCCCUUACCAUUUGAGACCCAGAAGCAGAGGCUCCGUCUUCUUCCCACCAGAAUUUUUUUUUUUAGAAAAAAAUUUAUUGUCUUUUUAAAAAAUAAAGUUACAUAGAUCACACAAA